rnacentral:rRNA from 2 species
AGUCAACCUAACUCGUGGACGUGGAUAACCUCGGGAAACUGAGAAUAAACCACGAUAGAUCAUAGUGCCUGGAAUGGCUUAUGGUCCAAACAGUUUACUGCCAUGGGAUGGGACUGCGGCCUAUCAGCUUGUUGGUGAGGUAAUGGCCCACCAAGGCGAUUACAGGUACGGGCUCUGAGAGGAGAAGCCCGGAGAUGGGUACUGAGACACGGACCCAGGCCCUAUGGGGCGCAGCAGGCGAGAAACCUUAGCAAUGUGCGAAAGCACGACUGGGUCAGUCCGAGUGAUUCCUGAUAAAGGAGUCUUUUGCUUGUCCUAAAAGCACAGGUGAAUAAGGGGUGGGCAAGUCUGGUGUCAGCCGCCGCGGUAAUACCAGCACCUCGAGUGGUCAGGACGUUUAUUGGGCCUAAAGCAUCCGUAGCCGGCUUUGCAAGUCUUCGGUUAAAUCCACCUGCUCAACAGAUGGGCCGCUGGAGAUACUACAAAGCUAGGGAGUGGGAGAGGCAGACGGUAUUCAGUGGGUAGGGGUAAAAUCCUCUGAUCCAUUGAGGACCACCAGUGGCGAAGGCGGUCUGCCAGAACACGUUCGACGGUGAGGGAUGAAAGCUGGGGGAGCAAACCGGAUUAGAUACCCGGGUAGUCCCAGCUGUAAACGAUGCAAACUCGGUGAUGCAUUGGCUUAUGGCCAAUGCAGUGCCGCAGGGAAGCCGUUAAGUUUGCCGCCUGGGAAGUACGGACGCAAGUCUGAAACUUAAAGGAAUUGGCGGGGGAGCACCACAAGGGGUGAAGCCUGCGGUU